rnacentral:lncRNA from 1 species
UGCAUCCCAAAGUGCAAACAACACCAAUAUAUGUAAUUAAAGUGCAAACAAGAUCACAAAGUAUUACAAAGCAUCACAAGUGCAUUACAAAGUACAUCUAAGACUACAUGAGUACAGUCCCUGGAGCAUCCAUCCAUAUGCCAUGCUGCUUUAUCAAAAUCUGCAUAAUGAGAAAGAAGUUAGAAGAAGAAUACAAUAAGAAAGAAGUUAAAUUAAGCUAAGCAAUUAUAAGAAGAAGUGGAAGAAGAAGAACAACAACAAGAAGAAGAAGAAGAAGAAGAAG